rnacentral:rRNA from 1 species
GACGAACCGUGCGAACGUUGUUCGGAAUCACUGGGCUUAAAGGGCGCGUAGGCGGGUUCGCAAGUCUGUGGUGAAAGCCUCCAGCUUAACUGGAGAAGUGCCGUGGAUACUGCGAAUCUUUGAGGAGGGUAGGGGCGUCUGGAACGGUCGGUGGAGCGGUGAAAUGCGUUGAUAUCGACCGGGAACUCCGGUGGCGAAGGCGAGGCGCUGGACCCUUUCUGACGCUGAGGCGCGAAAGCCAGGGGAGCAAACGGG